rnacentral:tRNA from 1 species
GCGCCCUUAGCUCAAUUUGGAUAGAGCAACGGCCUUCUAAGCCGUAGGUUAUAGGUUCAAAUCCUGUAGGGCGUA